GACGUAGGGCGCGAGCGUUGUCCGGAUUUAUUGGGCGUAAAGAGCUCGUAGGCGGCUUGUUGCGUCGUCCGUGAAAACCUGUGGCUCAACCACAGGCUUGCGGUCGAUACGGGCGGGCUGGAGUUCGGUAGGGGAGACUGGAAUUCCUGGUGUAGCGGUGAAAUGCGCAGAUAUCAGGAGGAACACCGGUGGCGAAGGCGGGUCCCUGGGCCGAUACUGACGCUGAGGAGCGAAAGCGUGGGGAGCGAACAGG
rnacentral:rRNA from 1 species